rnacentral:rRNA from 1 species
AUUGAACGCUGGCGGCAUGCCUUACACAUGCAAGUCGAACGGCAGCACGGGAGCAAUCCUGGUGGCGAGUGGCGAACGGGUGAGUAAUAUAUCGGAACGUGCCCAGUCGUGGGGAUAACGUAGCGAAAGCUACGCUAAUACCGCAUACGAUCUAUGGAUGAAAGUGGGGGAUCGCAAGACCUCGCGCGAUUGGAGCGGCCGAUAUCAGAUUAGGUAGUUGGUGAGGUAAAGGCUCACCAAGCCGACGAUCUGUAGCUGGUCUGAGAGGACGACCAGCCACACUGAGACUGAGACAGGCCCAGACUCCUACGGGAGGCAGCAGUGGGGAAUUUUUGGACAAUGGGCGCAAGCCUGAUCCAGCAAUGCCGCGUGCAGGAUGAAGGCCUUCGGGUU